rnacentral:rRNA from 1 species
AUUGAACGCUGGCGGCAGGCCUAACACAUGCAAGUCGAGCGGAUGAAGGGAGCUUGCUCCUGGAUUCAGCGGCGGACGGGUGAGUAAUGCCUAGGAAUCUGCCUGGUAGUGGGGGAUAACGUCCGGAAACGGGCGCUAAUACCGCAUACGUCCUGAGGGAGAAAGUGGGGGAUCUUCGGACCUCACGCUAUCAGAUGAGCCUAGGUCGGAUUAGCUAGUUGGUGGGGUAAAGGCCUACCAAGGCGACGAUCCGUAACUGGUCUGAGAGGCUGAUCAGUCACCCUGGAACUGAGACACGGUCCAGACUCCUACGGGAGGCACCAGUGGGGAAUAUUGGACAAUGGGCGAAAGCCUGAUCCAGCCAUGCCGCGUGUGUGAAGAAGGUCUUCGGAUUGUAAAGCCCUUUAAGUUGUGAGGAAGGGCAGUAAGUUAAUACCUUGCUGUUUUGACGUUACCAACAGAAUAAGCACCGGCUAACUUCGUG